GGGGUGGACAUCUCCAGAGACCUCACUCACCUGUGAUUUGGGGGAUAAUAGCAUCACUCAUGUGUUCACGUGCCAGGCCUGUCACCCCGGAACAUUAGUCAAAGGGCUGUGUUGACAGUGAUUUCAACUCUUGAAUUAUACGAAGGACCUGGCCGCAAGAAGGCAUUGAGCCCCGAGGAGGACAACAGGCCUCAGACCUCUCCAGAGUCCGAUGUCCUUCUGCACAAGUCCUUGUUGUCCAGUCUGUGGCCCAAACACCCACAGGGCAUGGUGGAGGCCUGAGACAGUGCUGGUUUUGCUGGGGCCAUCAGAAAAGCUUACGAAGCAGGCUCGGCCAUUGGCUGGAAGUCACUAGCCCCUGCUGGGCUCAUGCAAUACUCAUGGAACUGGUGUGGGCUCCUGCGGGUUCCCUAUGAGCAAUGCCUCACCCAUUUAAAGCUCGUCAAAGGACUUGUUCAAUAUCCUGGGUCCCUUUCUGUUCAUUUUUUCUCUCCCCCCGUGCUGUCCUCCUUCAACUUUCCCCGACCACCCCUCCUCUUUUUAAGCUCUUGGCACCAAGUAACUAUGAAGACUCUGAGAACUGGACCAUCCCAAGGCUGUAGCUUUCUUCAAGCCUGGCAGGCUCUGUCGUGGUGAAGAGUCUGAAGGCUUUUUCUUUUCCAGUAACACAGGAGGUGAUUGAAUGGAAGGAGUGGCCAGUCACUCUUUGGCGUCCAGGAUCCAAGAAGAAACAGAUGAGGAGGAAGGAGGAUAAACAACUUCUGGACAAAGCGAGUAAGUGAAGGUUGGGCAAGAACGCACAGCACGCAUGGCCGAGGGUCCUAGAGGAUGCUGCACCUCUGCCUCUUCUCUAGACGGGAUCCCUUUCCCACAGCUAGUGCUGUUGGAGGGCUGGGGAGGGGGCCGUCCAGGCUUCAGGCCUUGCUUUUAGAACUUUCCUUUGAACUGGAAAAACAGGAAAGACCUGGGGAGACUGG
rnacentral:lncRNA from 1 species